GAUGAACGCUGACAGAAUGCUUAACACAUGCAAGUCUUUGGCGAAGCUGUGCUUGCACAGCCUAGCCAAGGCGGACGGGUGAGUAACGCGUAAGGAACUUGCCCUGCAGUCAGGGAUAACAGACGGAAACGACUGAUAAGACCUGGUAAAGUCAGACGGACUCAUGUCCAGCCUGAUGAAAAGAGAUGCUGCAGGAGAGCCUUGCGUCCUAUUAGCUUGUUGGUGGGGUAACGGCCCACCAAGGCGAUGAUAGGUAGCCGGCCUGAGAGGGUGGACGGCCACAAGGGGACUGAGAUACGGCCCUUACUCCUACGGGAGGCAGCAGUGGGGAAUAUUGGACAAUGGGGGCAACCCUGAUCCAGCAAUUCUGUGUGCACGAUGAAGGUUUUCGGAUUGUAAAGUGCUUUCAGCAGGGAAGAAAAAAAUGACGGUACCUGCAGAAGAAGCGACGGCUAAAUACGUG
rnacentral:rRNA from 1 species